GAUGAACGCUGGCGGCGUGCCUAAUACAUGCAAGUCGAGCGAACAGACGAGGAGCUUGCUCCUCUGACGUUAGCGGCGGACGGGUGAGUAACACGUGGAUAACCUACCUAUAAGACUGGGAUAACUUCGGGAAACCGGAGCUAAUACCGGAUAAUAUAUUGAACCGCAUGGUUCAAUAGUGAAAGACGGUUUUGCUGUCACUUAUAGAUGGAUCCGCGCCGCAUUAGCUAGUUGGUAAGGUAACGGCUUACCAAGGCAACGAUGCGUAGCCGACCUGAGAGGGUGAUCGGCCACACUGGAACUGAGACACGGUCCAGACUCCUACGGGAGGCAGCAGUAGGGAAUCUUCCGCAAUGGGCGAAAGCUUGACGGAGCAACGCCGCGUGAGUGAUGAAGGUCUUCGGAUCGUAAAACUCUGUUAUUAGGGAAGAACAAAUGUGUAAGUAAUUAUGCACGUCUUGACGGUACCUAAUCAGAAAGCCACGGCUAACUACGUG
rnacentral:rRNA from 1 species